AAUAUGGACACUUAUUUGUAAGCACACAAUGUUUUUCUCUCCCUUACUCUUACAUAAAAAUCGUAUGAGAGAAUACUAAUACUAUAUGUGACCUGUUCGCACGAUCAGCGAAUGUCACCAAUACAUCUAUAAUCUAGGCUAGGAUAGAAUAAGAUAAAGGAUUUAAAAGCACUUUGUUUUGACCACAGAAGAGAACAGAGAUAAAAAUAAGUAAAGGAAAUAAUGCCUCGUUGAAGUUGCAAUAUAAUUCCUCAUCCAUGCAUUACUUAUGGGCUAAAUUUCGUAUAUCAAAAGAGUAAUGGACAAAAAUUAAUAUUUGAAAAUCGUACUGAGCGCUUCAUCAAACAUAUCCGUUGAAGUCUUCAACCCACUCGACGACGCUCGACAAAUGUUUCAUAAAUAUUUCAAAGGGCUAUUAACGCUCACGGAUGCUCCAGAAAAGCUGAGACCAGCAGAGAUCCAAGUAUCAAACUAAUGAGCUGUGACAUAAAAAACAAAGCUUUUCCCCCAACCAACUCAGCUCUUCUCGUUUCUUCUCUUUCCCAAGGAAAAUAUAAAAAAAAAAAACAGAA